rnacentral:rRNA from 1 species
AGAGCGAACGCUGGCGGCAGGCUUAACACAUGCAAGUCGAGCGGGCGUAGCAAUACGUCAGCGGCAGACGGGUGAGUAACGCGUGGAAACAUACCUUUUGGUUCGGAACAACACAGGGAAACUUGUGCUAAUACCGGAUAAGCCCUUACGGGGAAAGAUUUAUCGCCGAAAGAUUGGCCCGCGUCUGAUUAGCUAGUUGGUGAGGUAAUGGCUCACCAAGGCGACGAUCAGUAGCUGGUCUGAGAGGAUGAUCAGCCACAUUGGGACUGAGACACGGCCCAAACUCCUACGGGAGGCAGCAGUGGGAAUAUUGGACAAUGGGCGCAAGCCUGAUCCAGCCAUGCCGCGUGAGUGAUGAAGGCCCUAGGGUUGUAAAGCUCUUUUGUGCGGGAAGAUAAUGACGGUACCGCAAGAAUAAGCCCCGGCUAACUUCGUGCCAGCAGCCGC